rnacentral:rRNA from 1 species
AUUGAACGCUGGCGGCAGGCCUAACACAUGCAAGUCGAGCGGACGAAGGGGGAUUUCUCUUGGCUUAAGCUGGGGACGGGCGAGUAAUGCCUAGGAGGAUGACUUGUCGUUGGGGCUAACAUAAGUUAAGGGGCCCUAAUAUAGCAUCCGACCAGAGGUAGAACCUCGGGGAUCAUCGGAGCACAAGCUAUCUGAUGUCCCUAGGUCGGAUUAGCUAGUUGGUAGGGUAAAGGCCUACCAAGGCGACGAUCCGUAACUGAUCUGAGAGGAUGAUCAGCCACACUGGAACUGAGACACGGUCCAGACUCCUACGGGAGGCAGCAGUAGGGAAUAUUCCGCAAUGGGCGAAAGCCUGACGCAGCCACGCCGCGUGAGUGAAGAAGGUCUUCGGAUCGUAAAACUCUGUUAGUUGGGAAGAACGAAAGUGUAAGUAUACCUUGCUGUCUUGACGUUACCUACACAGUAAGCCCCGGCUAACUUCGUG